UUGCAGGAAUAGAAGGGUGUAUGGUGGAUGCCUUGGCUUCAAAGAGCGAUGAAGGACGUGUAAUGGCUGCGAUAAGCCUCGGGGAGACGCCAAUGAGUCUGCGAUCCGGGGAUUUCCGAAUGAGGAAACUCUACGUGUUACGCACGUAACCUAUGUAUGUAGGAGCAAACCUUCUGAAUUGAAACAUCUUAGUAAGAAGAGGAAAAGAAAGCAAUAAACGGAAGUUUCUUUCUGUGUGGUAAUACGCUUCGGCGUAAAACCAUUACACACGGGAAGAAGCUUCUUGCGAUACCCUAAGUAGCGGCGAGCGAAAAGGGCAGAGCCCAAACCAUACAUAUUUAUAUGUACGGGGUUGUAGGGCGAGGUCUGCAUUUAGUUGCGGAGAGUCAAAAAUGUGUAUUAUAGAAGAAUCAUCUGGAAAGAUGAACCCUAGCAGGUAA
rnacentral:ncRNA from 1 species